rnacentral:rRNA from 1 species
UACGGGGGGGGCAAGCGUUGUUCGGAAUUACUGGGCGUAAAGGGCUCGUAGGCGGCCAACUAAGCCAGACGUGAAAUCCCUCGGCUUAACCGGGGAACUGCGUCUGAUACUGGAUGGCUUGAGUUUGGGAGAGGGAUGCGGAAUUCCAGGUGUAGCGGUGAAAUGCGUAGAUAUCUGGAGGAACACCGGUGGCGAAGGCGGCAUCCUGGACCAACACUGACGCUGAGGUGCGAAAGCGUGGGGAGCAAACAGG